UCUCUAUCAGCUCUGAAAAAGAACCAACAUGUUUACAUAAUACUGGGACAUCCCAACAUUGCCAGUGGGAAGUCCUGAUGCUGGACUCUGGCCAGUGGCUGAGAGAUUGAGUGAAACCCCAUCUGCUUUUUCUGAACUAGGCCUCAUCAGAAGACCCCCAAUCCAGGGACAUGAGUCUCCGGGCUGUUCUGAGCUCUUCCAAGCCCAUGUCUUGCUGUUCCAACGGAUGGAGAAGUGCUUCCCACAGCCACACAACCUCAUCCUCCCCUCCAGACCUCAGCCUGGGAUGGCCUCCAGAGACAGCCGGGCUGUCCCAGGACCCUGUUAGCAACUCCCCAGAUGCCUGAUUCUCCUUCCCAGAAUAGCACAGCCCCUGGAGCACCCAGCCCAGAACUUCAGGGCCUGUGAUCUCAUGCUACUGCGGGUCAGCAACUCCUACCUCACACCAACAUGAAUAGUUCACUUUGUGUACGUGUCUUGGACCCAGAGGCGAUCGACUGAGUCUCCAGGAAAUAUUAAAAGCAGAGGCUCCGGACUCUGCCAUGAUGCCUGCUA